CCGGCACGGGUGAGUAACACGUAUCCAACCUGCCGUCUACUCUUGACAGCCUUCUGAAAGGAAGAUUAAUACAAGAUGGCAUCAUGAGUCCGCAUGUUCACAUGAUUAAAGGUAUUCCGGUAGACGAUGGGGAUGCGUUCCAUUAGAUAGUAGGCGGGGUAACGGCCCACCUAGUCUUCGAUGGAUAGGGGUUCUGAGAGGAAGGUCCCCCACAUUGGAACUGAGACACGGUCCAA
rnacentral:rRNA from 1 species